GAUGAACGCUGGCGGCGUGCCUAAUACAUGCAAGUCGAGCGAACUGAUUAGAAGCUUGCUUCUAUGACGUUAGCGGCGGACGGGUGAGUAACACGUGGGCAACCUGCCUGUAAGACUGGGAUAACUUCGGGAAACCGAAGCUAACACCGGAUAAGAUCUUCUCCUUCAUGGGAGAUGAUUGAAAGGUGGUUUCGGCUAUCACUUACAGAUGGGCCCGCGGUGCAUUAGCUAGUUGGUGAGGUAACGGCUCACCAAGGCAACGAUGCAUAGCCGACCUGAGAGGGUGAUCGGCCACACUGGGACUGAGACACGGCCCAGACUCCUACGGGAGGCAGCAGUAGGGAAUCUUCCGCAAUGGACGAAAGUCUGACGGAGCAACGCCGCGUGAGUGAUGAAGGCUUUCGGGUCGUAAAACUCUGUUGUUAGGGAAGAACAAGUACGAGAGUAACUGCUCGUACCUUGACGGUACCUAACCAGAAAGCCACGGCUAACUACGUGCCAGCCGCCGCCGUAA
rnacentral:rRNA from 1 species